AUACAGUGAUGACUGCAUAGUUCAGCAGAAUGUCCUGUGAUGAGCACAGUGCUUCGCCCCUAUCUGAUGUAUCU